rnacentral:rRNA from 1 species
AGUGAACGCUGGCGGUAGGCCUAACACAUGCAAGUCGAACGGAAGCACAGUAAGAGCUUGCUCUUACGGGUGGCGAGUGGCGGACGGGUGAGGAAUACAUCGGAAUCUACUUUUUCGUGGGGGAUAACGUAGGGAAACUUACGCUAAUACCGCAUACGACCUACGGGUGAAAGCAGUGGAUCUUCGCACCUUGCGCGAUUGAAUGAGCCGAUGUCGGAUUAGCUAGUUGGCGGGGUAAAGGCCCACCAAGGCGACGAUCCGUAGCUGGUCUGAGAGGAUGAUCAGCCACACUGGAACUGAGACACGGUCCAGACUCCUACGGGAGGCAGCAGUAGGGAAUAUUGGACAAUGGGCGCAAGCCUGAUCCAGCCAUACCGCGUGGGUGAAGAAGGCCUUCGGGUUGUAAAGCCCUUUUGUUGGGAAAGAAAAGCAGCAGGUUAAUACCCCGCUGUUCUGACGGUACCCAAAGAAUAAGCACCGGCUAACUUCGUG